GCGCCGCUAGCUCAGCUGGUAGAGCAGAGGCCUCUUAAGCCUAAGGUCCUGGGUUCGAGCCCCAGGCGGCGCA
rnacentral:tRNA from 1 species